rnacentral:rRNA from 1 species
UUGAACGCUGGCGGCAGGCCUAACACAUGCAAGUCGCACGGUAACAGGAAACAGCUUGCUGUUUCGCUGACGAGUGGCGGACGGGUGAGUAAUGUCUGGGAAACUGCCUGAUGGAGGGGGAUAACUACUGGAAACGGUAGCUAAUACCGCAUAACGUCGCAAGACCAAAGAGGGGGACCUUCGGGCCUCUUGCCAUCGGAUGUGCCCAGAUGGGAUUAGCUAGUAGGUGGGGUAACGGCUCACCUAGGCGACGAUCCCUAGCUGGUCUGAGAGGAUGACCAGCCACACUGGAACUGAGACACGGUCCAGACUCCUACGGGAGGCAGCAGUGGGGAAUAUUGCACAAUGGGCGCAAGCCUGAUGCAGCCAUGCCGCGUGUAUGAAGAAGGCCUUCGGGUUGUAAAGUACUUUCAGCGGGGAUGAAGGGAGUAAAGUUAAUACCUUUGCUCAUUGACGUUACCCGCAGAAGAAGCACCGGCUAACUCCGUG